ensembl:lncRNA
GUGGGCUUUGCAAGCCAUCCAGUGAAGGAAGCGCUCAAACAGGCUCAGCUGCAGAAAGGGAGCAAUACAGGCUGAUGUAGUCAGAGAGAAAAGACUACAGGAAAAAAAGUGAGAGUUAAUCAGAAACCCUGAGGGUUUGGGAGGAAAAGAGCUUAUGAGUGAGAGGAAGACAUAUUUUGAUGGAGCACAGCCAAGCACAGUGCCCGUGGGCAAUGGUGAUCCCAAUGAAGUGGUGAGCAUGCUCUCAGUGUCCUAGCAGACAGAUUUGUGAGCACUUCUAGAGAAGAGUUUAUUUACUCAGGGCAGCCCUUUCAGAAGAGAGAC